UGCUGACUAGGUAAGGAAAAAAGGGGGAAUAAUAGUAUAUUAUUAAUCUCUUAUUUUUUGUACCCUUUCCUGUGUGUAUUCCCUAUGUACUGCCUCUAAAAUCCUUUAGAGGCAAGAAUGGCACAUCUGUUGUUUUGCACAGUCUUCAACAUCAGGUUGUGGGAUGGAUGAGAAGCAUGUUUCAAGACCCCAUAAUGAACCUUCCCAUAAAACAGCCAUGGGUAUGAGAAGCAGAGGGCUACAUAAGGGAUAUGUCAGGCAGAUGAGAGCUUUUAGCCUGGAGGAGAUGUCAAGGAUUUCUUUGCUAUGUUCAGUGUACUGACCAUACUGCAACAGCUUCUAAGGAAAGAAAACAUUUUUCUUUCUUUCUUCCUUUCUUCCUUUCUUCCUUUCUUCCUUUCUUCCUUUCUUCCUUUCUUCCUUUCUUCCUUUCUUCCUUUCUUCCUUUCUUCCUUUCUUCCUUUCUUCCUUUCUUUCUUUCUUUUUUAUAUAUUAACAAUCAUUCCUCUCUACUGUCCUUCACAAGUAUAUUACAAUCUCAGCCUGCAUUUGAAACAAUUCUCCAUGCUAUCAUUAAAAAAGAAAAAAAUAUUGAAUCUUUCCUGUAAAUUGCAUGCAAUCUGACCAAUAAAAGGCAAGUAGAUGACUCUUCUUAGUGCUACAGUGCUCAGAGCAGAAAGAAAAUGCCCUAAAAUGAGAAGUACAUGGCUGGCCACUAUUUCCAUUUUCAUUAGAGAUCUGACACCAGUGGCUUCAACAACUUCAUAGAAUCAUUGAAUGGCUUAGAUUGGAAGGGAUCUCAAAGCCCAUCCAGUCUCACCUUCCUGCCAUGGGCAGGGCUGCCCCCCACCAGCUCAGGCUGCCCGGGGCCCCAUCCAACCUGGCUUUGAGUGCCUCCAGGGAUGGAGCACCACAGCUUCUCUAGGCAGCUGUGCCAGCGCCUCACCAUAGACACAGUAGAGGAGCUAUUAUGAAAAAUGGCAAGCACUUAGGCACUGCAGGUGAUCUGCUCAACACUCGUCAACACAUAGCUGCUUGUGAAGGUGGUGAAUUAAAGUAUACACUAGUGUUUUAAGAGCCUCCUGAAAUACUGAUCUCAGAGAUCCACAGAAGCUUGAUCCUGGUGGAAGUGGGAAGUGGUAGGCUUGCAUGUGAAGGCUUAUUUCACAGGUAUCGCUACCUCUUUAGCAGAAAUAUGUGACAAUUCAGAGGUCUGUAACAAAUUGGCACGGUUAUGUUCUUCUCAUUUGUCACUGACUUAGUAUGAUUAAUUUAAUGCCAUCUUCAUAUCAGAUCACAUUAUUUUUCUGACACAGGUAUUUAAAAGUAAUUCUGGUUAUUCUUUUUAAUACACCCAAGUCAUUAUUCAUAUAGACUAGAUAUGAGCAAGGAUUGUUUGGGCAUGAGUUUGUGUGUGAAGAACAAUGUGUGUGUGUGCACUCACUCAGAGGGGGGAGUGCUUGGGAAAUGAUUGGCAUGUAACAACAGAAAGCAAUAGUUGCCAUUUCUUUUUAUAAAAUGAAUCCCUUUAAAAUUAUAAUCAAUUGCCUGAGAUUGAAAAUACCAUAAAACUGUUGAGGCUGGAAGGGAUCUUAUCUAGUCCAGCGGCUCUGCUCAAGCCAGAUCAGGUUGCUCAGGACAAGCCUAUGUCUGAUCAUUGCAUAAUUGUUGCACUGUAAAACAAAUAAAGAAAGAAGCAAACAGAAAACUAUGGCAGUGGCUUAGAAUCGUAAGAUUUAAGUCAGUGUAUUUUGUCUUAUUGCAUUGUAUACUUAGCAUUCACAGUUCCUGUUUACAACUGUUUCUCUGAAACCAUGACAAUGAAGAAAAAAAGCCACAAAGGAUUUUCCUUCAAUCACAUGAUUCUAAGAGCUGGAGUUUAUUACAACUAUAUUUAUUACAACUAUCCAGGCUGGAUGUGGCUCUGGGCAGCCUGGUCUAGGGGUUGGUGACCCUGCACAUAGCAGGGGGGUUGAAACUCGAUGAUCAUUGUGGUCCGUUUCAACCCAGGCCAUUCUAUGAUUCUAUGAUUCUAUAUGCAGAGAGAUUUUUGAGUCACUGCAAACAAUGCAUCAUAUCCAGUCCAGACUCCACACAAGGUUGUGAAGGCUAGAAUUAACAGCCAGCCAUGGAGAGGAGCAGUGGAUACAAACAAUUUGGAAUGAGAAGACAGUGGAUCACAGAACCAAAAAUUUCCUCAAGCUUUGCUCAGCUCAGAGAUGAAAGCUUGCAGCUGUGUAAGCAGGAGGCCACAACUGAUCUCAGCUACCAUCAUGACUUUUUUAAGGAGAAGGUCCCCUUAGAUACUGAAAGACCACUGUCAGGUCUCUCUGGAGCCUUCUCUUCUCCAGGAUAAAAAGCCCCAGCUCUUUCAGCCUGUCAACCUUUGCCACCUGGCCAGAAGGGAAGACACGUCCCCUCUGGGUCCCUUUCCUACAUGGAGCCAUGCAGGCCCGGCAGUGCUGGGGAUCUGGAGGUGCUGCUGAGGAUCAUUCAGGUCUGCAGGUACACAGCUGAACUCCUUCCAACUGUGGUAACACCGCACCUACUGGCUUACCAUCACCUCAUCUCUCUGCUUACGCUAAUACAGCUUGUGUGCUUGCUUCAAAGCAGUGUGGCUCUUCUGAUAAACCUGCUAGAAUGAAUGGCCCAGCUUGGGCAAUACCUCUGCUGUUCUCUUUGAGUUUAUCUCCUGCAGUCUCAGCAUCCCUGAGUGCCUUUACCACACCUCGAUCAACAAGUUGGCCCAUCACCUCCCUCACUGGCUUCCUGUUUUUGCUUAUAUUUAAGUAUCUCAUCAGCAGCUUGAAUGCAAGGCACUCUUCAUAUUGGUUCGAGCUUUUCUUAUUUCCUGCUUUCACCUUACCUGUCAUGUUUAUAGGCUUCAGUUUCAUUGCAAGCUUUCAACUUUUUAAAUGCUGAUAUUUUCCUGUGGUGGCCUUCUUGCCCUUUCCACUGAGCUGUGUGGGGAUUUUAUUGGCGUGCUGUUUCCUUUUAGAAUUGAUGCAGUUUGCCAGAGCUUCUAACACAGCAUCUGUAAAAAUAUCAGUACAAUAAUACUACCGUGUGAGUCCUGGAAGAACUUUAUUGUAUUUAAAACAAGAAACGUGUCCAGAUACAUUUCCUGUUCUCUGACCUCCAGUCCCGCAACACAACCUUGAACACAGAGCAACUGACUCAGCUGCUCUCUCUCCACACGGGGAAGAACUGCCUGCCUGCUGCUCACUGCAUCUCUCUAUUUCCUUACAUACCUGUCAGCACCCACAGCUCUCCUUCCAGACUAUCUUCCUUUGGCUUAUAUUUAGACUUUGAAGAGUGGAUGGUUCUUAAUCUGACAGCUAUCAGAGAAGGUAGAACCUCUGACAAAUAGUAUCCUCGUUGCAUUUUCCAGGAUUUUUGUUGCUUUGCUUUUCUGCCCCUGUUACAUCUUCCAUUUGAUGUAACUCUCUGUGCUGAGGCAAAGUAAUUCUCCAUCAGCAAUAUUUGGACUCUGAUCUUGCAAGCUGUAUGUUAUACCUGUGAAAAGUACUGCAGUGUUGACUAGUGUGCACAGGCAAGAAGCUCAUUUUACUCAUUACAAAAUCUGCUUUCAUAGAAAUCACAGUAUGUCCAAAUGCCACGUUAUUAGCAGAAGAGGAUAUCAUGAUACAGAUUUCCCACCUGCUAACUGUUCUUUACUCCAAAAAGUCAAAGUAUGCACAACUUUCCUCGCCCUCCAUCUUGACGACCCACAGACACCGGCGUAGAAAUGAAAGGACGCCUCGAGCAGAAAAUCUGAAAGGCUGAUGCCUUUCCGUCGGUCCCGUUAGGUGGAGCUCUCAGACAAGGAGAAAUGACAUCCCACCAGGCACCCUGAGGAGUCGUUAGCACUGUAUUAUUCAGAUAAAAUUGAAGAACAAAAAUGCAGCUGGAGUUCAUGCAAGUGGCAAUUUGAAGAGUACCUUUAUUCUCAAACAGCUUGACUUCUCUUGUCGGGGAGAGUAUCUGUCAAACCACACGUUUCUCCUUCCUGAGCUCAAAUAACAGGUGGCUGAAAUCUGAAAAGGGCUGAUUUUCAAGAACGUGUUGUAUUUAGCAAGUUAUAUUUACAACCAAAUAGCAAUGCAAUCAUGUCUACUCGCUGCUCCUCUGGGACAGAAUUAAGAAAUAUCACCCAAAUGUGAACAGCAGAUCCGUGAUACAGGCAGGAGUGGGACUGGUCCUUCUCAAGUCACAACUCCACUGUUUAACUACAGGGCCAUAAAACUUCCUUUCCUAGUCUGCUAGCAAUGCCACGAUCCACUCAGACAAAGAAUGAUAUCAAGAAUAAGUCCAUCUGGCAUCAGCCACAGCCCAUAUGAGAUGAAGAUCAACAGCCUGGGAAGAGGAGUGAACUCAGUGCCUAGGGCUGGGCAGUGCUAGCACAAGCUGUCUUCCCCCUUUGCUGAGGGGGGCUGUCAGGUUUGGAUCAGCAGCAACACAAGGGCAGCCCCAGAAGUCAUUGCCUGUGUCAUAAACCAGAUGCCCCAGGGGAUUCUGAAUAACCCUACAGGCAAACAGAAUGGGCCAUCAUCCUCUUUUGUCAUGAAAAGGUAGGAGAUUCACUUCUGCAGCUUCAAGAGAAAUUGGGAAAGUAUGGCUACUUGAUUUUCAGCCCUGAUUUGUGCCUUCAAUUUGAUAAAGAUCCAUUCUUACACGCUUGAGUCAUUUUAGCUACUUUUUCUUGCUUUUUUUCCCCUGUACACUCAGACCUGAAAACUGGAACUCCAGCAUCCCAGGAGGGUACCACUGACGUAAUGUAGCAUGACAAUACAUAACUCCCAUUGGCUUCCUGCGUUGGUGCUCACAAGUGUUCUACGCAGAAAGUCUUUUCUUCAGAACUGUGUUGUGCUGAGGACUGAAUUAAUCUGUUAUUUAAUGUGGCUACUGAGCUUUAUGUUCCCCUGCAAAUUACCAUUACUUGAUAUUUCUUCUUGCUGUGAAUUUUUUUGUCGAGUUUGGACUUGGUGAUCCUUAUGGGUCCUUUCCAGUGUGGGUUAUUCUAUGAUUUUAUGAUUUCCAAACUGUAAAGAUUUAUACUUUCUCAUGUUGUUUGAUCGUUUGCUUUUAAUACAUCUCUUCAUCUGCUGAAUAAUGCAGGUAGAUUUUGGAUUUUCUCAUGACUUUGCCCCACCAAAGUAGCUAACUAGGGUGAAGUCCAUUAAUUGAUAUCACUGAGAACUCAGAACCUGUUUUCUGGCUCUGUCUUCUGAAAGGAAAAUCUGUGUUGUUUGUUUGAUUGCUCCUCAAGCUGCAUGUGCCUUCCCAGGCUUUGAAGCUAUGCCCAUCACUGCAGAACAUGAGAUGACUGAUAACGCCCUUCUCAUUCACAGAACAGACACUGUUCAGCAACAACAUGUUUUGGCCUAAAAAGUGGUGUUUGAGACCUGAUACGUAAUCUAUGAAUUCGUCCAAUCUGGUCAGUGCCCCUUGCUUUGGUGUUCUUAAGAUAUAGAUGCACAUCCACUCAGAAAAUCACUGCUGCCCCAGGCAGUGGCCAGGCCAUCUCUAUCAGCUCUUGGUCACUGGGAACGUUUCAAAGUUGCUCUGGAAACAGAAGGCUCUGAAACUACACAGUGUUAUUCCCAUGAACAAUGCACUGCCCUACAGUUUGCUCUGUUCACAGCCAGCUACUCUUCUAUUACUCUUUUUAUUUUAUUAUUUGCCCACAAAUUUUGUUAUACUUUCUUGUAAGCAGUAAAAAUUCAAGUUUUGUUGAAAUCAGCAAUAAAAAUUCUGAAGCAAAAAAUACCAAUAAAUCUAGUUAUUUAGCCAAUAAACAGAGGUAGGCUAAACUAGUAUGCUCUGAUCCCUGUGCAGCAGUGCCAAGCAGGUGGCCAUACACAAUUUAGCUCACUGACGAUUGCCUGCAGUGUGACCAACGCAUGGCAGUCCUUGGUGCAGACACAUCCAGGAGCAGCUGGCCGAGGGCAUUCACUGGGUAUUUUGGGGCAUUGUCCUGGCACCUGUUCUCCAAUGAAUUGUUCUUUAUCACUUUAAUAAACCGGGAUAUACAUUCUUACAUUUUGGCUUCUAAAAUUCCCGUGAAACCACUGAAAGCUGAGCAUGCGGUGGAAGACUGUAUGUAGGAAUGUUCAGCUUCUGUUGGACAUUCUUGAUGGGAAUCUCCUUCAGUGAACACUGAGAUGUAUGAACUACAAGCCUUUCACCGAUACCCUGAAGUUGCAGGCAAAAGCCACUGUCUUAAAAAAGAAAGGGAUUAGGCUAGCUGGAUGUUUUGGUUGGUAAAGGAGUUGAAAAACAUUAUUUAUUUCAGCAUGAACUCACCGGACCUCUGCCCCUGUUUUCACUGCAGAGAGACACAGGAUGGAUUCAUUUUGAUUCUGUUCUCAGGCGAUGGUAAGAGGAUCGUCUCUGUUGAAUAGCCCUGACUGUUGUGACACCAAGUGUCCUCCACUAGCACAGAGCCCUGUUUGUUCCCCCAGCCCCAGCGACACGCUGGGUCAGACUCCCUACAUUGGGGCUGCACGCAUUCGGCAGAUCUCUUCACCAUCAGUGGGGUUCAGGGGGGACGCAACGUGGCUGACACUGGGACUACAGACCCUGGGCAGCUGGGGAGCAAUGAUGGUGGGCCCAGCAGGGCAAUGCCCCCUCCUGCCAGUUUCCUUCUCUGAGCAACCUGUUCAUCGGGGUCCGUGUAGGUGUGCAAUGCUGUGUGACCGUGGAUUUUUGCACCCAACCUCUGUGCGCAUUGUUGACUGCAGUGGCACCACUGCUGCAGCACAUUUUCAAAGAGAACUGAAGAAAACAAAAAGCUACAUGUACUGGUAUUCCUCUUUAAUUUAAUAUCAUCUUACAAGGUGGAAAUUAAAAUGAUUUUUUCUGUCACCGUUAUCUCACUUCGCUUGGCGAUGAUCGAUUUCCUUCUCCCCUACUGCUUACUAAUAAGACAUCUGAACACUGAGAUGGUUUUUGUGUUUACUUCCUUGUUUAAAUCAGCUUCCCCAGCUAAGGACAGCCUUGGCACUACAUCUGCUCCGCAACUUGUGAUUUCUGCGUUGGCUCCACGCUGACAGAACGUCAGGCAUGGAGAGGUAUAUAUUUUUAAUUACUCGGGGAUGCCCCUGUGUAUACGUACAGGCAAAUUAACUAAGCACAGUCCAAAACCUGCUCCUAGCAGCGCUCACAUGUUACACACACACACACACAUUUCAGGCACCGAGCCUCACCUCUUGGGGCUGACGCAUGGAGAGAUGGUGGCAGGUGAGAACGACACCUUUCUACAAAUGGAACACUGAUGUCCAGGGAGAGGAAUAGACAAAAGUCAGCAUCGCUGAUGUCUGAAAGAAUCUGGUGCUUGCUUCCAGAAAUCAGCGAUCCUUCGCAGAGGUGGGGGUAUGGCAGUGAGCACGGCUGCUGCCUGGGGUCUGGGCACCGUGCUGUGAGCUCCUCGCACCCUGCUAGCACGGCAGCUCCAGCCCUGAUGGAGUUAUUGCGACAGACUAAAAAUGCUCAGUGAACAUCUCACAGUUUAAGGAGAAAAUACCAAAAGGGAAGGGAAGGAAACUUGGCCAUAUGCACAUCGCAGGCGAGGAACCAUGGAAAGAUGGGGCCGAGGCUCUGGAACUGAAUGCUGCUGGGGAGCUGAGUAAUAGGCUCUGCAGGGCACGCUCUCGGGAUGUCAUCCCACACCUUUUGGACGUUUUGCUGUCUGUGGCAUCUCCUUACCGAAUGUGUUUUGUGUCGCCCCAGCUGAAAUCUCUGUGUUCAGCAUUAGUCAGUUUUUAUCUCUGGGAUCUUCACACCCCAAGACCUACACAGUGCUGUCCUAUCUCCUUCCUCUCAAACUUCAUUGUCCUUCGCUUACCCUGUUUCUCUAAGCGGAAAUUUUGGUGUUUCCUUCUCCCUCUUGGCAAAGCUGCUCUUGCUCUUCUCAGGAAGACAACACCUUAAGGUUUCUUUCAGCCCUAUCCUAAACAGUUUCACGAUUUUCUUCACAACGAUCUCUGUAGCAACACCACCUCACCCACAGCUGGGCUGUACCGGGUCCCUUCCCACAUGCAGACCCCGUGGGGGGACCCCACACCACGGCCGGGUCCCGGCCCUGGGCAGAGGCACCCGCGGCACUGCAGGGACCGGGCCGGGAGG
rnacentral:lncRNA from 1 species